AGGAAUAUAGUUAAUUAUAACAUUUAAUUUGCAAUUAAAAAUUAUUCAAAAAAUUAUUCUUA
rnacentral:tRNA from 1 species